rnacentral:rRNA from 1 species
UACCAGCUCUCCGAGUGGUAGGGAUGAUUAUUGGGCUUAAAGCGUCCGUAGCCGGCUUAGCAAGUCUCCUGUUAAAUUCAGCGACCUAAUCGUUGAGCCGCGGGAGAUACUACUAGGCUAGGAGGCGGGAGAGGUCAACGGUACUUCCGGGGUAGGGGUGAAAUCCUAUAAUCCCGGGAGGACCACCAGUGGCGAAGGCUGUUGACUAGAACGCGCUCGACGGUGAGGGACGAAAGCUGGGGGGAGCGAACCGGAUUAGAUACCCGGGUAGUCCCGGCUGUAAACGAUGCGAGCUAGGUGUUGGGGUGGCUACGUGCCACUUCAGUGCCGCAGGGAAGCCAUUAAGCCCGCCGCCUGGGGAGUACGGCCGCAAGGCUGAAACUUAAAGGAAUUGGCGGGGGAGCACCACAAGGCGUGAAGCUUGCGGUUC